CUAUUACCAUUCAGUAGAUCAGAGAAUAAGACAGGGAAAGAGAAGCAUAGGAUUUGAGUUGAAAACAAAAACAGUAAAUAUGCGUGCUACUUCUUCCCAGAUUGAGUAUAUCCCUGGUUGAUUCUGCUGAGACAUUUAAUUAAAAAAA